rnacentral:rRNA from 1 species
CGCUAUCGAUAGGCUUAACACAUGCAAGUCGAGGGGCAGCAUGAUCUUAGCUUGCUAAGGUUGAUGGCGACCGGCGCACGGGUGCGUAACGCGUAUGCAACUUGCCUUACAGAGGGGGAUAACCCGUUGAAAGACGGACUAAAACCGCAUACACUUGUAUUAUUGCAUGAUAUUACAAGGAAAUAUUUAUAGCUGUAAGAUAGGCAUGCGUCCCAUUAGCUGGUUGGUGAGGUAACGGCUCACCAAGGCGACGAUGGGUAGGGGAACUGAGAGGUUUAUCCCCCACACUGGUACUGAGACACGGACCAGACUCCUACGGGAGGCAGCAGUGAGGAAUAUUGGUCAAUGGGCGAUAGCCUGAACCAGCCAAGUCGCGUGAAGGAAGACAGUCCUAAGGAUUGUAAACUUCUUUUAUACGGGAAUAACGGGCGAUACGAGUAUUGCAUUGAAUGUACCGUAAGAAUAAGCAUCGGCUAACUCCGUGCCAGCAGCCGCGGUAAUACGGAGGAUGCGAGCGUUAUCCGGAUUUAUUGGGUUUAAAGGGUGCGUAGGUUGUUCGGUAAGUCAGCGGUGAAACCUGAGCGCUCAACGUUCAGCCUGCCGUUGAAACUGCCGGGCUUGAGUUCAGUGGCGGCAGGCGGAAUUCGUGGUGUAGCGGUGAAAUGCAUAGAUAUCACGAGGAACUCCGAUUGCGAAGGCAGCUUGCCAUACUGCGACUGACACUGAAGCACGAAGGCGUGGGUAUCAAACAGGAUUAGAUACCCUGGUAGUCCACGCAGUAAACGAUGAUUACUAGGAGUUUGCGAUAUACCGUCAAGCUUCCACAGCGAAAGCGUUAAGUAAUCCACCUGGGGAGUACGCCGGCAACGGUGAAACUCAAAGGAAUUGACGGGGGCCCGCACAAGCGGAGGAACAUGUGGUUUAAUUCGAUGAUACGCGAGGAACCUUACCCGGGAUUGAAAUGUAGAUGACGGAUGGUGAAAACCGUCUUCCCUUCGGGGCUUCUAUGUAGGUGCUGCAUGGUUGUCGUCAGCUCGUGCCGUGAGGUGUCGGCUUAAGUGCCAUAACGAGCGCAACCCACACCGGUAGUUGCUAACAGUUUUCGCUGAGGACUCUACCGAGACUGCCGUCGUAAGGCGUGAGGAAGGUGUGGAUGACGUCAAAUCAGCACGGCCCUUACAUCCGGGGCGACACACGUGUUACAAUGGGAGGGACAAAGGGCAGCUACCGGGCGACCGGAUGCGAAUCUCUAAACCCUUCCCCAGUUCGGAUCGGAGUCUGCAACUCGACUCCGUGAAGCUGGAUUCGCUAGUAAUCGCGCAUCAGCCAUGGCGCGGUGAAUACGUUCCCGGGCCUUGUACACACCGCCCGUCAAGCCAUGGGAGUCGGGGGUACCUGAAGGGCGUAACCGCAAGGGGCGCACUAGGGUAAUACCGGUGACUGGGGC